GAAGCUGGUCAGGCAGCCGCUGGGAACCAGGUGCAAACCUUGUGCCGAGAGGAAAGUCCGGGCUCCGCAGAGCAGGAUGCCGGUUAAUCGCCGGGCACCGUGAGGUGACGGAAAGUGCCACAGAAAACAAACCGCCCAUGUCCUCGACCGAAGACAGGCAAGGGUGAAACGGCGAGGUAAGAGCUCACCGCGGCCGUGGUAACACGGACGGCACGGCAAACCCCAUCUGGAGCAAGGCCGAAUAGGGAAGCAUUGGCGUGGCUCGCGUCGCUUCCGGGUAGGCUGCUUGAACAGGCUGGUGACAGCCUGUCUAGAUGAAUGGCUGUCCACGACAGAACCCGGCUUAUCGACCGGCUUCCCAU
rnacentral:RNase_P_RNA from 1 species